CUGGCGGCCUUAGCGCGGUGGUCCCACCUGACCCCAUGCCGAACUCAGAAGUGAAACGCCGUAGCGCCGAUGGUAGUGUGGGGUCUCCCCAUGCGAGAGUAGGGAACUGCCAGAC
rnacentral:rRNA from 1 species